UUAAAAGCGAUGAAGAGAAAAGUAAGUUUACUGGUAACGUACAGAGAGCUCUGGAGACUGAAAUAGGGCCGCAAAAGCAAACUGAAAAUCACUUGGAGCUAUAUGGUGAAUUAAAGUAACCAUUAUUGGUAACACCCAUUAUUGUGUUAGCGUAUCGCAUAUUGCCGUACGUGAAGUGAUUGGUUAAAUUAAUUUGAGAUAAUUUGCCAGUAAAAAAGGUGGUACCGUGCCAAUUAAAGCACCCUGAAU
rnacentral:ncRNA from 1 species